rnacentral:lncRNA from 1 species
AAAGACUUUGUGUUUUUACAAGGGCCAAUAUCUCUGGAACACAUUUAUGAAACAAGGCAGCACACCAAGGAGGCAAACGAGUUAUAUGCAUGUGUCUGCAGAGCUGUCUGCAGGAGUUUGCUUGCUCUCUUUCUCCCCUCUCUCUUUUCUGAUACUUUGCACCAUCCCUACCUUACAUGCUCGCUAAGUAUCACUAGCAAUGUCAGUUAUGCAAUUAGUCCCUUGCCAAUUAAUGUCAAAUUAGAUGCCUGCUGUCAGCAUUCCCUAGCACUGAUGGAGUGUGUGGUAAUAAUCUGUAACCAGGAUAACUUCUAAUGUUCCAAGGAGUCUGCAUUGUUCUCUGGGAAGGAAAAGGGGAGGGGAUGGACACACGACACAAAAAAGUAUGUUGCAUGAUCACUUAUGCCAUCUACAAAGCUGCCACAGAGGCGGGGGCAGAGAUCGUCUUCAAGGCUGCUGUCAUCUGGAAUUUUAUGUACUUCAUUUUCUUUCACUCUGUAUGCCUGUCACAUCGGCUUAACUCCAACACUCAGUCUGCUGUCUCCAUAUUCAAGCACCUUGCUCACUGGCCUGCUUUUCCUUCUCAGUUUGGGAUAGGUGGGUUAACUUUAUGCAUGCUCACUACCUUUGGGGAAAAAAAAAAAAAAAAAGGUUGUGCGAUGACUAUUAUUAAUAAUGAAUAGUUAUAGGGCAAAUCUUUAUGCCUACAGUGCCAACAACAAUGGCAAGGCACUAUUUGUGCCACCUUGCUAUGCAAACAAAACCGCAAGAGAGCACGGCAAGGCUUUAGGAGUGUUAUUUUUCGUUUAACAUAUCUGACAGUAUUAGGUUAAAAUUUUAAGGCCAACCUAAUUUUUCCAGUAUGAACUUUUAUUUUUUUAUGGUCUUCUUUAAAUCAUCACAUUGCUCAACGUGGUAUCACUGCCAUCUGCAAAGAAAUUCUGCUGCUGAGUCAAAACUAAUUUGUAUUGGUAAAGUGUAGGAAUGUAAAAGUUUUUCCUGGACUGCUGAAUUUUUAGGGCAUGUUUGCCUGCUGUAUGUGGAAAUAAUGCUAAAGUACAAAACAACAGAAGAAGAACUAAACGUAACAGCAAGUGCAACACUGGGUGUCACCUGGAAGGUGAACAUGAGAGCACCUAGAGCUGCUGGGAGCUGGGUCAACAGCACCAAUCAGCUGAUGCAGUAGAAAUUGGGAAGGAAAGGACCUGACAGAAACAGGAAGGGUAUAAAGGUCAAAUGAAAGGAUAAGUAACACUGAAGAGUUGACAAGUUACUAAAUGAUGAUGCAAAUUACAGCCUUCUGUAUGCCCCUCAUAUUUCAUAGCCUCAACUCUACAUACAUCAGGGAGAUUAUAACUGCCUAUUUCUCAAAAAGAUCUGUGGCUGGCCCAUUGAAAAAGGUGCCACCUGCGUUGUAAGGACUGAAGUCAAGCCCUGAGUCACUGCUUCACCAUGGCAAAACACAACACAGGAGUCAAUGUGCAGUGGUGCUCCCAAGUUUGGUGGGCAUGGUGCAGGAGAUUUGUGACACAGUGAUCCUGAGAACCCCUUUCAGUGGGCAACUGCUGCUCAGGGUGGUAUGGAAAGCCCUCUGGGGAAACAUUCUGAAUUCUCUGCCAUCCCCUCUGUCCCUCCUAAGUACAGUUGUAACCAAGAGAGAGGCAGGAUUUUGAAGACUCGUUAUCUGUGCAUUGGUCCCUUCUGCUCUGUUGCCAGCUCUGGGACGAUCAUGCCUUCCCAGUGGAAAGUGUUGCAUGUACCAAGAAAAGAGGCAGAGGGGUCAGAGCAGUGAAUGAGUACAUGUACCUCAUACCAUCUCUCUGCUGUCUUCAGCAUUACAAAAAGUACUCACUGUUUUAUAGCCAUCUCAUAUUUCUCAAGCAUUUGGAACCUCCACCCCAUCCAAGGCAGCUCACUUUGGGAACCCCCAAGAUCAUGGUGUAGUUUAGUGGAGCUGAGCAGAGGGCAACCAAAGUGGGAAAGAGGGGACAGUGCUCUGCUUUGGCUGUGGUCAUGCAGCCCCCUUCUUCCCUGCAGUGAGGUACCCUCUGGAGAUAGAUGCUGCCACAUCUAGGGCAUGCACUGGAGACAUGCAUGCACAUACAUCCACACUCCUACCUUAUGACAGUACAAGAGCUGUCCAAAACUAUUUUCAAUAAUUGAUUUGCUGUUUAAUUGAACAUCAUGACUGACUAACAUAGCUCAUUACUUUACUCAUUAGUUAAUUAUCGGAGAAAGUAGGACAAGUCAAUAAAAUGGAAGGCUGUAAAUUCCA